CUCUAAAUUUGGAUCUAGAAUUACUUGUACCCACCAUACUUCACUAAAAAAUAUGCCUGGAGACUGAUCCUCCAUUAUGCUCAGUUUUUCGUUUUCGUUCGGCCUUGUGUGUUAGCCCUGUGUGGCUUGUAUCGAACCCCUUUUUUAUUCUCGUUUUGCUACUCUGGUUGUAAACGCUUCAAGGGCUUCAUUUCGCUAAAGCCGGGCAAGCACCACCUCUCUAAAAAACCAUACACUAAAAUACGAAGACGUUUUCCAGAAAACUUAUUCCUCUUUAUCAGUCAUACAUUUGUCAUCAUCCGCUUGAAUGGAGACCUGAAAAAACAGAAUGUGUUUAGUUCUCACAAGAACAAACAGGUUGAGACCACCAACAAACAAGAACAUAUCAAUCACACUAAUGAACACGACCGGCGACGCUACACGACUGCUCAGCCCUGUUGCGAAUCUGACAACUCACUGUCAUGCAAAAAUCAGCAGUAAUUAUUAAUAGCAUCAGUGGUGCACAAGCCUUUGUUUUGGGUCUUAUAAUAGAGGAAGCCAUAUUAUCUAGCAUAUUCAGAAUCCAGGCCAGCAUUUUCUAAAGUUAACCCUGAUUCUAAAGGCUUUUUGUGUCUAGAGUGAUAGACAUGUGUACAAAUUUGUUAGUGGUUGAAGCUUAUGUAUGCCAGCACUUGAACAAGGAGUGAAUCACUGGAAGACAACCUUGAUGUACAGAACCUGUAUAUUUGUGGAAGCUUAGACCUGUUGAAAGUUUACUAGUAUUUCCAUUCAUCAAGUUAUGAUGCAUGAUAGCCGAUAAGAUAAACAAAUACAGAGAGGUGCGUGCAGGAUUUCAACUACAAAUCAAUGAUUAAGCCGUUGUGGAUACAACUAUGACAUUCUAUCCAAACCUUUACAGCAAGUUCUCCAAUUCUGUAUUGCCCAAAGCCACAAACAAUCUAGGGGCUAGAAUUCACGUGAGCGAAUGUACAUCUGCCCUUGGGUUCCUUGCUGAUUGCAAAGAAAAUGCAGACAAGAAAAUUGAAGUGGCUGCUAAUUUGCAUUACUAAUUGAGGAAAUGAUAUAUGCUCACUGAAAACAGAACGAGUUGGACAUUUACUCGGCGACCUGGUCAUUUUCCCUCAAAAUAAAUUCAGAAAAACAUAUUAACUAUAUAUUAACAUCAAUUAGCUUCUUUAAGGUCUGGGCAGUACCUGCAUACAUUGAGGAGAGCUCUUAGUCAUGGAUCUCCA
rnacentral:lncRNA from 1 species